UACGUAGGAUGCAAGCGUUGUCCGGCUUUAUGGGGUUUAAAGGGUGCGUAGGCGGCCUAUUAAGUUAGUGGUGAAAACGUUCGGCUUAACCGGAUACCCGCCAUUGAUACUGAUAGACUUGAGUGCGACAGAGGGUGUUGGAAUGUGUGGUGUAGCGGUGAAAUGCUUAGAUAUCACGCAGAACACCAAUUGCGAAGGCAGAUGCCUAUGUCGUAACUGACGCUGAGGCACGAAAGCGUGGGGAGCAAAUAGG
rnacentral:rRNA from 1 species